GACGAACGCUGGCGGCGUGCUUAACACAUGCAAGUCGAACGAUGAAGCCGGAGCUUGCUCCGGUGGAUUAGUGGCGAACGGGUGAGUAACACGUGAGCAAUCUGCCCUUGACUCUGGGAUAACUGCGGGAAACUGUAGCUAAUACCGGAUACGACACCUUGGGGCAUCCCAGUGUGUGGAAAGAAUUUCGGUCAAGGAUGAGCUCGCGGCCUAUCAGCUAGUUGGUGAGGUAAUGGCUCACCAAGGCGACGACGGGUAGCCGGCCUGAGAGGGUGACCGGCUAAACUGGAACUGAGACACGGUCCAGACUCCUACGGGAGGCAGCAGUGGGGAAUAUUGCGCAAUGGGCGAAAGCCUGACGCAGCAACGCCGCGUGCGGGAUGAAGGCCUUCGGGUUGUAAACCGCUUUCAGCAGGGAAGAAGCCGCAAGGUGACGGUACCUGCAGAAGAAGCACCGGCUAACUACGUGCCAGCCGCCGCCGUAA
rnacentral:rRNA from 1 species